ACCCCGGCCGCAGAGGUGAUGAGACGAGCUGCCCCCGGCCUCGGCCGGUCUGAAAACUGGGGCUUGGAAAAGGAGCUCCCAGGAACCCACAGACCUGACACACUACACGCCCAGCAGACUUCACUAGCCACCUUGCUGUGCAGAUGGAGAAGGGCGUUGGGACAAUCUGUCACUAAAUCAUGCCCUUCCCCAAAAUAGGAGAGAGGUAUUUUCCAUUCAGAAAUCUGGAUUUCCAAGUAAAAAGUUCUGGAAUCUAUUUUGGUUGAAGAUAAUUUUUGAAGCUGUAUUAUAACAUGAAUAGUAUAAGGUGGUACUUAUUGUGAACUAGUUAAGCACAAUGUGGAGUUCAGCUUUGCCUUCUGGGCUCCGGCCUUUGACCCUUGGAUGCACUUACAUUGUCAUUUUAUAUAGUUCAAGGAGGAAACACCUGCAGUUAAUGUGAAACUUAGGCUUUCAGCUAAAAGAUACAUAGUCACUGUAACUGCAUGACAGCUAAGCACUGUUGAAAUGAGC